UGGAUCCAGACUUUGAUUCUGGCUCAGGACGAACGCUGGCGGCGUGCCUGACACAUGCAAGUCGAACGGAGCUCCGCCCUUCGGGACGGAACUUAGUGGCGAACGGGUGAGUAACGCGUGAAGAACCUGCCUUCCAGUGGGGGACAACAGUUGGAAACGACUGCUAAUACCGCAUGAUACUUUUGAGGGGCAUCCCUUGAAAGUCAAAGCUUUAAGUGCUGGAAGAUGGCUUCGCGUCUGAUUAGCUAGUUGGUGGGGUAACGGCCCACCAAGGCGACGAUCAGUAGCCGGUCUGAGAGGAUGAACGGCCACAUUGGGACUGAGAUACGGCCCAGACUCCUACGGGAGGCAGCAGUGGGGAAUAUUGGGCAACGGGCGAAAGCCUGACCCAGCAACGCCGCGUGAAGGAAGAAGGCCUUCGGGUUGUAAACUUCUUUUACCAGGGACGAAGGACGUGACGGUACCUGGAGAAAAAGCAACGGCUAACUACGUGCCAGCAGCCGCGGUAAUACGUAGGUUGCAAGCGUUGUCCGGAUUUACUGGGUGUAAAGGGCGUGUAGGCGGAGGCGCAAGUUGGGAGUGAAAUCUAUGGGCUCAACCCAUAAACUGCUCUCAAAACUGUGUCCCUUGAGUAUCGGAGAGGCAAGCGGAAUUCCUAGUGUAGCGGUGAAAUGCGUAGAUAUUAGGAGGAACACCAGUGGCGAAGGCGGCUUGCUGGACGACAACUGACGCUGAGGCGCGAAAGCGUGGGGAGCAAACAGGAUUAGAUACCCUGGUAGUCCACGCUGUAAACGAUGAAUACUAGGUGUGGGAGGACUGACCCCUUCCGUGCCGCAGUUAACACAAUAAGUAUUCCACCUGGGGAGUACGACCGCAAGGUUGCAACUCAAAUGAAUUGACGGA
rnacentral:rRNA from 1 species